rnacentral:misc_RNA from 1 species
AGCCUGUAGUGAAGGAGCUUAAUGCAAGACAAGAUAUCGAUUAAAACUUUGAUUGAAGCCGAAACCAAGUGGUGGGAGUCCGUGUACGUGACAAGGAUCCCGUGGCGGCCAAACACUAUAACAAUCUUCCGAUUGAGGGUAAAAACUUUAACUCAUCCUUUGAUUAUUUUUACUUAUUGAGAUCCUUUUAUUCUUGUAGGAAUGUCGAGUAGAGCAAAAAAUGUUGAGCAGUUGAUCGGGAAAAGGAAGAAAUCUAGACGGGCUCUUGCAGGUGAACAAAUUGAUGUCCCUGUGCCGAAGAGGGCAAGGGCUGCUACCCCUCUGACGCCCCCGGCUUCCGAUGAGCAAAGAACAGUUGCUCCGAUCACCGAGCCAAGGGUGGUUGGGAUUGAAACUGCUACCCCUUCUCAACUAGCUCCUCCUCAAACUAUUGAGGGACUAUUGGCCGGGCAAUCAGUUGUUGGAAACUUCAAGCUUGCCAGCUGGUUUGCCAAGCAAUACACUCUUCCGAUGGACCGAGCUCGCCUGGACCAGAAUGUUGACAUUGAUCUAGCUCUCCGGGCGGUAAGCCUUCAGAUGGAGCAGAUUGCCUGCACACAGCUGCUUAGGGAGAGAAACAAGACUUUGUGGGGGCACAUCAGGACUCAAGAGACAGAGAUUGCUCUAUUGACCGAGAUCGUUUCUUCCUCUGAGGAGAAAAUUCAAAAGCAGGAGGUUGAGCUGCAGAGGAUAAGAGAGAAGUUGUCUGUUCUUGAAGUCGAGUUGAAGGUUGCUAGGGAGGGUCAGUUUGAGCUAAGGAAGAAAGUGGAGGAGCAGGAAGUUGAGCUAGUUGCCAUUGACGAUCAAAUGGCCGAGAUAUAUGUCAAGGCCCAUAGCAACAUUGUCAUCGAGCUUGAAAAGCGGUACCCGGGAGAUGAUUUCUCCUGGGUAGAAGAUCUAGGUGGUGGCAAGGGCGAGGGUGAGCUUGUAAAUGUACAGGGAGAUAGAGAAGGAGAUGUAGGUCCAUCGGCCUAACGUGUAGUCUGCAUAAAAAUUCAUUUAUGUAUUGCAGUUCGGUGAUAAUAAUCAAUCAUAUUGAAUAAUUAGAAGUAAAAUUUGUAAGUAGGAAAGCUCGGACCCACAGGUCGAGUGAAACAAAUGAAUCGAGA